GAUGAACGCUGACAGAAUGCUUAACACAUGCAAGUCAGCUUGAAUUUGGGUUUUUAACUUAGGUUUGGGUGGCGGACGGGUGAGUAACGCGUAAAGAACUUGCCUCACAGCUAGGGACAACAUUUGGAAACGAAUGCUAAUACCUAAUAUUAUGAUAAUAGGGCAUCCUAUAAUUAUGAAAGCUAUAAGCGCUGUGAGAGAGCUUUGCGUCCCAUUAGCUAGUUGGAGAGGUAACGGCUCACCAAGGCGAUGAUGGGUAGCCGGCCUGAGAGGGUGAUCGGCCACAAGGGGACUGAGACACGGCCCUUACUCCUACGGGAGGCAGCAGUGGGGAAUAUUGGACAAUGGACCGAGAGGCUGAUCCAGCAAUUCUGUGUGCACGAUGAAGUUUUUCGGAAUGUAAAGUGCUUUCAGUUGGGAAGAAACAAAUGACGGUACCAACAGAAGAAGUGACGGCUAAAUACGU
rnacentral:rRNA from 1 species